UGUUCCUUAGAGGGCACCCCUCUGUAAUCAUGGAGCUGUGUCACCUUCUGCAGAAUAUCUGAAUCAUCAUCUGCCAAAGAGUCGACCGAACCGCCAUCCAAGCCCCAAGCAUGAACGUUGGCAAUCUCAAGGAUUCAAAGGAUCCAUGUAUGACAGAACAGAAUCCUGAGAAGAGGCACCCUGAUGAACUCAAACCACUGGGUCACCCUUUGCAGGUGAACCCCUUGCAGAAGCAAACCCUCAAGAGUCAACCAACCGUCUUGCUCAAGCCUUCUCCAGAGACACUCCUACUCCUCCCAAGGGUCAACUGAUCCUCCGCCCAAGCCGAAAGCAUGAAAGUUGGCAAUCUCAAGGAUCUGAAGGAUCCAUGUAUGACUAAACAGAAUCCUGAGAUGAUGAUAAGAGGCACCCUGAUGGACUCAAACCACUGGGUCAUCCUUUGCAGGUGAACCCCUUGGAGAAGCAAACCCUCAAGAGUCCACCAACCGUCUUGCUCAAGCCUUCUUCAGAGACACCCCUCCUCCUCUCAGGCCAAGGGUCAACUGAUCCUCCGCCCA